UACGUAGGCAGCGAGCGUUGUUCGGAAUUCUGGGCGUAAAGAGUGUGUAGGCGGUGCUCUAAGUUCGGUGUGAAAUCUCCUGGCUCAACUGGGAGGGUGCGCCGGAAACUGGAGUGCUUGAGCGUGGGAGAGGAAAGCGGAAUUCCUGGUGUAGCGGUGAAAUGCGUAGAUAUCAGGAGGAACACCUGUGGUGUAGACGCUUUCUGGACCAUAGCUGACGCUGAGACACGAAAAGCGUGGGUAGCAAACAGG
rnacentral:rRNA from 1 species